rnacentral:rRNA from 1 species
CCUACGGGAGGCAGCAGUGAGGAAUAUUGGUCAAUGGACGAGAGUCUGAACCAGCCAAGUAGCGUGAAGGAUGACUGCCCUAUGGGUUGUAAACUUCUUUUAUAUGGGAAUAAAAUGUUCCACGUGUGGGAUUUUGUAUGUACCAUAUGAAUAAGGAUCGGCUAACUCCGUGCCAGCAGCCGCGGUAAUACGGAGGAUUCGAGCGUUAUCCGGAUUUAUUGGGUUUAAAGGGAGCGUAGGUGGAUUGUUAAGUCAGUUGUGAAAGUUUGCGGCUCAACCGUAAAAUUGCAGUUGAAACUGGCAGUCUUGAGUACAGUAGAGGUGGGCGGAAGUCGUGGUGUAGCGGUGAAAUGCUUAGAUAUCACGAAGAACUCCGAUUGCGAAGGCAGUUCACUGGACUGCAACUGACACUGAGGCUCGAAAGUGUGGGUAUCAAACAGGAUUAGAUACCCCAGUAGUC